UACGUAGGUGACAAGCGUUGUCCGGAUUUACUGGGCGUAAAGAGCGCGCAGGCGGUCGAUCAAGUCGAGUGUGAAAGCCCCCGGCUCAACUGGGGAGGGUCAUUCGAUACUGAUCGACUCGAAGGCAGGAGAGGGUAGUGGAAUUCCCGGUGUAGUGGUGAAAUGCGUAGAUAUCGGGAGGAACACCAGUGGCGAAGGCGGUUCUCUGGGCCUUACCUGACGCUGAGACGCGAAAGCGUGGGGAGCAAACAGG
rnacentral:rRNA from 1 species